rnacentral:rRNA from 2 species
AAACAGACSAAUUAASGCUUAACGAGCGAGACCUGGGCGUGCUAGCUAGGCGCUAUUACCUUUUUUGGUAAUAAGGCAGCCUACCUAGACGGACUGCAGGCGUCUAGUCUGCGGAAGCUCCAGGCAACAGGUCUGUG